rnacentral:rRNA from 1 species
GAUGAACGCUGGCGGCGUGCCUAAUACAUGCAAGUCGAGCGAACGGACGAGAAGCUUGCUUCUCUGAUGUUAGCGGCGGACGGGUGAGUAACACGUGGAUAACCUACCUAUAAGACUGGGAUAACUUCGGGAAACCGGAGCUAAUACCGGAUAAUAUUUUGAACCGCAUGGUUCAAAAGUGAAAGACGGUCUUGCUGUCACUUAUAGAUGGAUCCGCGCUGCAUUAGCUAGUUGGUAAGGUAACGGCUUACCAAGGCAACGAUGCAUAGCCGACCUGAGAGGGUGAUCGGCCACACUGGAACUGAGACACGGUCCAGACUCCUACGGGAGGCAGCAGUAGGGAAUCUUCCGCAAUGGGCGAAAGCCUGACGGAGCAACGCCGCGUGAGUGGUGAAGGUCUUCGGAUCGUAAAACGCUGUUAUUAGGGAAGAACAUAUGUGUAAGUAACUGUGCACAUCUGGACGGUACCUAAUCAGAAAGCCACGGCGAACUACGU